rnacentral:rRNA from 1 species
UACAGAGGUCUCAAGCGUUGUUCGGAUUCAUUGGGCGUAAAGGGUGCGUAGGCGGCGCGGUAAGUCGGGUGUGAAAUCUCGGGGCUUAACUCCGAAACUGCAUUCGAUACUACCGUGCUUGAGGACUGGAGAGGAGACUGGAAUUUACGGUGUAGCGGUGAAAUGCGUAGAUAUCAGGAGGAACACCUAUUGCGAAGGCAGCUCGCUGGGACGUAACUGACGCUGAGACGACGAACGUGGGGAGCAAACAGG